rnacentral:lncRNA from 1 species
UUUUUUCUAGCUGCUUCAUGUUUUCCUUCUUCUUAUCUGUUAUCAGUCCAAGGGAAACAUUUUGAAUAGAAAUUCACAUGGAAGGUUCUGGAAAAGGCAGGAUUUGUUAGUUUUUGGUUCCGGUAAAUCCAGGUGGAAUUCACACAGUAAGGUCAUUUCUCACACGCUGAAGCCGUCCGGCCCGUUAGGCAUCUGUCAGAACAGGAAAUGAGGAAGAGGAGGCCGCUCCCUGUGGAUCAGCGGCCGGCCUUCAGUCUGACUCACUGCUCUGGUUUCCCUGCAGCCUGUCGGACCACGAGCUGUUCACCAACCUGGACUCUGGCUUCAACAGCGUGGACAGCGGCAGCAAGCGGUGGUCCGGGAAUGAGUCUGCAGAUGAUUUUUCUGAACGCUCUCUUCGCUUGGCCGAAGUCAGCCGGGAUCAGACAAACCUGGAGGAGGAGGAGGAGGAGGAGGAAGAGGAGGAGGGCGGCUCCCUGCCAUCUACCAACAGAGGAGGAAAACUCUGCUGUAAUGGAGAAGCAGAGCAGGUGGACUUCAUCGACAGCAAUGUUACUGAGGAAGAGGAGGAAGAGCUCCGGAUAGAUGCCCCCACACCGCCUCUGGAGCAGAGAGGAACAUCUCCAUCGUCUCAGAGCCAGGACUCGGCAACCACCAGGUCAGUGUCUUCUAGUCGGGCUCCUCUGUGGAGCAGGAACGACUAGACUAGAUCCGUGUUUGUUAGCCGUUCAGUCCAUCCUCAGAGGAAAUGAGGGUCUGCAGGUCUUUCCCUGCUGUGGAGUCACAUGACCACAUUUGGAGGUUUGAAUGUUAGCAGAAACUGUAGGCAAAGACUCUUCCUCUUUAUCCCCUCUUCAUCCUCUGACAGGCUCACCCCAGGGUCAAUGAGAGGGCUGGGAAAAGUCAACAGACUGCUGCAGUAGGAUAGAACGAGAUACAAUAGAAUAGAACCAG